CUGUCCGGCCCUCGAUGCANCGAGCUUUUUACGGCACGCAUGGAAGUGGUCUGGUCGGCCCGGUCUGANCCAUUAUUUUUCACGGUUGACCUCGGAUCAGGUAGGAGUACCCGCUGAACUUAAGCAUAUCAAUAAGCGGAGGAAAAGAAACCAACAGGGAUUACCCCAGUAACGGCGAGUGAAGCGGUAACAGCUCAAAUUUGAAAUCUGGCCUUGACCGGUCCGAGUUGUAAUUUGUAGAGGAUGNNCGGGCAAGGCUCUGGUUUAAAUUUCUUGGAACAGAAUGUCAUAGAGGGUGAGAGUCCCGUCUAGAACCAGGGGCCGCGUCCAUGUGAAACUCCUUCGACGAGUCGAGUUGUUUGGGAAUGCAGCUCAAAAUGGGUGGUAAAUUCCAUCUAAAGCUAAAUAUUGGCCAGAGACCGAUAGCGCACAAGUAGAGUGAUCGAAAGAUGAAAAGUACUUUGAAAAGAGAGUUAAACAGUAUGUGAAAUUGUUGAAAGGGAAGCGCUUGCAACCAGACUUGCGUGUGACGGUUCCCCCGGUCUUCUGACCGGGCUACUCCGUCAUGUCCAGGCCAGCAUCGGUUCGGGUGGUUGGUUAAAGGCCCCGGGAAUGUAUCUACCUCCGGGUCGACUUAUAGCCCGGGGUGUAAUGCGGCCUACCUGGACCGAGGAACGCGCUCUUGCUCGGAUGCUGGCGUAAUGGUUGUAAGCGGCC
rnacentral:rRNA from 1 species